UGGGGAAUCUUGGACAAUGGGGGCAACCCUGAUCCAGCCAUGCCGCGUGAGUGAUGAAGGCCUUAGGGUCGUAAAGCUCUUUCGCCUGUGAAGAUAAUGACGGUAGCAGGUAAAGAAACCCCGGCUAACUCCGUGCCAGCAGCCGCGGUAAUACGGAGGGGGUUAGCGUUGUUCGGAAUUACUGGGCGUAAAGCGCACGUAGGCGGAUCAGAAAGUUGGGGGGUGAAAUCCCGGGGGCUCAACCCCCGGAACUGCCUCCAAAACUCCUGGUCUAGAGUUCGAGAGAGGUGAGUGGAAUUCCGAGUGUAGAGGUGAAAUUCGUAGAUAUUCGGAGGAACACCAGUGGCGAAGGCGGCUCACUGGCUCGAUACUGACGCUGAGGUGCGAAAGUGUGGGGGAGCAAACAGGAUUAGAUACCCUGGUAGUCCACGCCGUAAACGAUGAGUGCUAGUCGUCGGCAGGCAUGCCUGUCGGUGACGCAGCUAACGCAUUAAGCACUCCGCCU
rnacentral:rRNA from 1 species